rnacentral:rRNA from 1 species
AACGUAGGUGGCGAGCGUUAUCCGGAUUUACUGGGCGUAAAGGGUGUGCAGGCGGGUGAACAAGUGGGGUAUGAAAGGUUUCGGCUCAACCGAGAUAGGUUAUGCCAGACUGUUUACCUAGAGUGUGAGAGAGGGACGUGGAAUUCCGGGUGUAGUGGUGAAAUGCGCAGAUAUCAGGAGGAACACCAAUGGCGAAGGCAGCUCACUGGGACGGUAUUGACGCUGAGACGCGAAAGCGUGGGGAGCAAACAGG